rnacentral:rRNA from 1 species
AUUGAACGCUGGCGGCAGGCCUAACACAUGCAAGUCGAGCGAGCGGCGGACGGGUGAGUAAUGUCUGGGAAACUGCCUGAUGGAGGGGGAUAACUACUGGAAACGGUAGCUAAUACCGCAUACCAUCAGAUGUGCCCAGAUGGGAUUUGCUAGUAGGUGGGGGAACGGCUCACCUAGGCGACGAUCCCUAGCGGGUCUGAGAGGAUGACCAGCCACACUGGAACUGAGACACUGUCCAGCCUCCUACGCGAGUCAGCAGUGGGGAAUAUUGCACAAUGGGCGCAAGCCUGAUGCCGCCAUGCCGCUUGUGUGAAGAAGUCCUUCGGGUUGUAAAGCACUUUCAGCGGGGAGGCGUUACCCGCAGAAGAAGCACCGGCUAACCCCGUGCCAGCAGCCGCGGUAAUUC